rnacentral:rRNA from 1 species
CGUGCUUAACACAUGCAAGUCGAACGGAAAGGCCCUGCUUUUGUGGGGUGCUCGAGUGGCGAACGGGUGAGUAACACGUGAGUAACCUGCCCUUGACUUUGGGAUAACUUCAGGAAACUGGGGCUAAUACCGGAUAGGAGCUCCUGCUGCAUGGUGGGGGUUGGAAAGUUUCGGCGGUUGGGGAUGGACUCGCGGCUUAUCAGCUUGUUGGUGGGGUAGUGGCUUACCAAGGCUUUGACGGGUAGCCGGCCUGAGAGGGUGACCGGCCACAUUGGGACUGAGAUACGGCCCAGACUCCUACGGGAGGCAGCAGUGGGGAAUAUUGCACAAUGGGCGGAAGCCUGAUGCAGCAACGCCGCGUGCGGGAUGACGGCCUUCGGGUUGUAAACCGCUUUCGCCUGUGACGAAGCGUGAGUGACGGUAAUGGGUAAAGAAGCACCGGCUAACUACGUGCCAGCAGCCGCGGUGAUACGUAGGGUGCGAGCGUUGUCCGGAUUUAUUGGGCGUAAAGGGCUCGUAGGUGGUUGAUCGCGUCGGAAGUGUAAUCUUGGGGCUUAACCCUGAGCGUGCUUUCGAUACGGGUUGACUUGAGGAAGGUAGGGGAGAAUGGAAUUCCUGGUGGAGCGGUGGAAUGCGCAGAUAUCAGGAGGAACACCAGUGGCGAAGGCGGUUCUCUGGGCCUUUCCUGACGCUGAGGAGCGAAAGCGUGGGGAGCGAACAGGCUUAGAUACCCUGGUAGUCCACGCUGUAAACGGUGAGUACUAGGUGUGGGGUCCAUUCCACGGGUUCCGUGCCGUAGCUAACGCUUUAAGUACCCCGCCUGGGGAGUACGGCCGCAAGGCUAAAACUCAAAGGAAUUGACGGGGCCCCGCACAAGCGGCGGAGCAUGCGGAUUAAUUCGAUGCAACGCGUAGAACCUUACCUGGGUUUGACAUGGAUCGGGAGUGCUCAGAGAUGGGUGUGCCUCUUUUGGGGUCGGUUCACAGGUGGUGCAUGGCUGUCGUCAGCUCGUGUCGUGAGAUGUUGGGUUAAGUCCCGCAACGAGCGCAACCCUUGUUCACUGUUGCCAGCACGUUAUGGUGGGGACUCAGUGGAGACCGCCGGGGUCAACUCGGAGGAAGGUGGGGAUGACGUCAAGUCAUCAUGCCCCUUAUGUCCAGGGCUUCACGCAUGCUACAAUGGCUGGUACAGAGAGUGGCGAGCCUGUGAGGGUGAGCGAAUCUCGGAAAGCCGGUCUCAGUUCGGAUUGGGGUCUGCAACUCGACCUCAUGAAGUCGGAGUCGCUAGUAAUCGCAGAUCAGCAACGCUGCGGUGAAUACGUUCCCGGGGCUUGUACACACCGCCCGUCAAGUCAUGAAAGUUGGUAACACCCGAAGCCGGUGGCCUAACCGUUGUGGGGGAGCCGUCGAAGGUGGGACUGGUGAUUAGGACUAAGUAA